CACUUCCGGUGCGUUUUACAAUGAACUCCGGGCACUCGAGUCGCUCCCCGGAAACUAUAGUUCUGCUUCCACCGUUGUCCUACUUUGGAUAGCAUCAAGACAAAAAUCUCAGUCUUCGAGGAACUCACAGUGUAGCAGAAAAGACAAAGGAGGUAAACAGGAGGAGCUGAUAGCCAGCAAGAAAACAGGGACUUCAGUUCUGCAACUGCAACCAACAACCGGAGUGAGCUUGGAAGCAGAUUCUUUCCAGAGCAUCUAAAGCAGUGAUCCAUGUUUUCAUUGGACUGUGAAAGAGCUACUUCUACUCUAAGGCCACAUUGCCUACAUGAAAUAAAUUAUUGUUAGGAAAUUGCCUUGAAAAGAGAAACAAGACCACAACUCUUAGAAGAAUUCUGAACUUGAGAUUGACAUAGAUCAGAAAGCCCAGAUGCUGUUGAUCCAUCUCACCAGGCAGCAAGAGUAAGGAUAGAAUAUCUGCCCUCCAAUUUCACAGUUCACUAAGAAAAGACUUCUACACUCCCUGGGCAGAACAAUUCCAUCUACGCGGCAUAGGUGAUGGAAUCUGACAGGCUACUCUGCUUCAUGCCUCACAUAGUUACUGAAGAAAUGGGAAGCGUUAGGAGGAUUUCCUAGACCACCUGAGGUUGAGUGGCAUAAAUUUCCUGAUAUGAUGCUGAAAACUAUACUUAUUAAAGAAAACAGAAGUGUGAACACAUUUCAAAAACACGAUACCAUACGCUUCAACAAUGAGACUUGAACAAAGCUGCCUGAAGGUUUUAAUAAGCUUUUGUCUCUUUAUCCCCCAAACCCAGUGCCACCCCUCAUCUCUUGAUUCCUGAAUAAGAA
rnacentral:lncRNA from 1 species